GCUCCCCUCGCGACGGAAUGCGCGGCUCCGCCACCGUGCGUGCGGCGCGCGGGUUCUUCGUCGUUGUUGCUUCUGCUGCCGGUGCCGGCAGCCACGGGCGCGCUGCUGCUGCUGCUGCCGUCGUAGGAGCGAUGGAGGAGAGAGGACUCCUCCCGAUACAAUUAGGAGAGCGGCUCAUUUGCGCGCGCGAUCAAUGCGAGACGCGCAACACGAGACCUAAAUCACGCUCCCGCCACUCCUUGGAUCGCAGCAGACGAAAAAUGUGGAACCACAUGGGUCGUGGCACCGUGGGCGCAUCAUACUAUACGCCGGUGUGUCGUGAUGAGGGUCUGGGAUAGCAAUACGAGGAAGGACCAAGUCACGACCCAAGGAAAAGCUGCAAAAAAGCGCAGCCAUUGAAUCUUCAACUCUCGGCCCCUCCUUCACCAAGAUCCGUUUGGAUGCUUGGUAUAUGUUUGCUGCACUUCCGCAGGAGCACGGAGACCUCUGGGCGGAACAGCGCGGUCGCUGACGCGUCGCGAUGAACGGCUGUGCGUCGACGGAGCGGUUGGCGGCGACGUGACAGCGCAGAGCAAGUGGCAGCUGGCCGGAAAAGUCAUCGACAGCCGCGAACAAUGGCUCUCUUUGGGAUACGCCACGGUCGCCGUUGAGUUCCCUGUCCUCGGAAUAGACAAGCUGCCUGCCUUGCGCAAGCAUCGUAAAACGUGAAAUGGGCUCGCUCGGACUCGGGCUAACCCAGAUUCUACGCUGCCGAGUCCAAUCGGACUUGACGAACUCAACAAAAUCCAACUUAUAGCCUGGAGACUCGCAGAAGUUCUACUCAUGAGUCAUAUAUUUCUUUUUUUUUCUUUGUUUUGGAAACAGACUCCAAAAUUGUAGGAAAUAUUUUCAACUAUGGACUCAUUUUUCGUCUUUU
rnacentral:lncRNA from 1 species